rnacentral:sRNA from 1 species
CUAUGCUGGUGGAACAGCCUCAGCCACCAAGGCAGCCAGAGAUUAGACAUAGUUGGAAUUAUUUCAUGCAUCAAGAGAAGCAACUGGAAUCCCUAGAGACGUGAAUACAACUUCAGGAAAGAAAUCUGCUUUUCUAUUCUUUGAUGACUGACCUAGGCUGUGUGGCUUACUCUUCUCCUUACUUACAAAAUUAUUAUCCCAUAAAAAAGCACUGGAAAACUAGAGUUUGGAAAGCAAUGAAAAUGAAGCAGUUGCCUUGUAGAACCAGAAGCUCAACUUCAUGCCUUAAAUGUGGAUUUUUUUUCUAAGUUCUUGGGGUGGUCCAGUAUCAGAGCUCAUAAUCAGACACUCGAGAAUAUG